rnacentral:rRNA from 2 species
UAGGGAAUCUUCCACAAUGGGCGAAAGCCUGAUGGAGCAACGCCGCGUGAGUGAAGAAGGAUUUCGGUUCGUAAAACUCUGUUGUAAGGGAAGAACAAGUACAGUAGUAACUGGCUGUACCUUGACGGUACCUUAUUAGAAAGCCACGGCUAACUACGUGCCAGCAGCCGCGGUAAUACGUAGGUGGCAAGCGUUGUCCGGAAUUAUUGGGCGUAAAGCGCGCGCAGGUGGUUUCUUAAGUCUGAUGUGAAAGCCCACGGCUCAACCGUGGAGGGUCAUUGGAAACUGGGAGACUUGAGUGCAGAAGAGGAUAGUGGAAUUCCAAGUGUAGCGGUGAAAUGCGUAGAGAUUUGGAGGAACACCAGUGGCGAAGGCGACUAUCUGGUCUGUAACUGACACUGAGGCGCGAAAGCGUGGGGAGCAAACAGG